rnacentral:rRNA from 1 species
CCUACGGGAGGCAGCAGUGGGGAAUAUUGGGCAAUGGAGGAAACUCUGACCCAGCGACGCCGCGUGCGGGAUGAAGGCCUUCGGGUUGUAAACCGCUUUCAGUAGGGAAGAAGCGAAAGUGACGGUACCUACAGAAGAAGCACCGGCUAACUAUGUGCCAGCAGCCGCGGUAAUACAUAGGGUGCAAGCGUUGUCCGGAAUUAUUGGGCGUAAAGAGCUCGUAGGUGGUUCGUCACGUCGGAUGUGAAAAUCUGGGGCUCAACCCCAGACCUGCAUUCGAUACGGGCGAUCUAGAGUGUGGUAGGGGAGACUGGAAUUCCUGGUGUAGCGGUGGAAUGCGCAGAUAUCAGGAGGAACACCAAUGGCGAAGGCAGGUCUCUGGGCCAUUACUGACACUGAGGAGCGAAAGCGUGGGGAGCGAACAGGAUUAGAUACCCUGGUAGUCCACGCCGUAAACGGUGGGCACUAGUUGUGGGAACCUUCCACGGUUUCUGCGACGCAGCUACGCAUAGUAGCCCGCCGUCGGGAGGUACGANCGCAGAUAAACUACAAGAAGUAGACGCGUGAGACGUGCGACGGACGACGACGAGGGAGGAGG